rnacentral:lncRNA from 1 species
GUCACAUUGUCGUUCUCUAAGACAUUUGAGAUAAUGUUUGUUGGUUUUUUAAUCUAUUUUGUACUCAAAGAGAUGACAAGAUGAGCACAAAUGUAGAUGUUUUUUCCUUCAUUAGAUAGUAUUAAAGAUGUAAAAGGAUAAAGGAAAGGCUUUGUUACCUUCUGAUUGUGGAGUUAAUGAAUAUUAUGCCCAUGAUCUUCACUGAUUAUCUAGAUUUGCCCAGCCAUGAUCUCACCUAGCAUUUGAUAAAAAUAGAUUUAAAAUACCACCAGACUGACUUUGGUUUCCAAUCCAGCUAGUUCAAAGUUGUGCAUUUUAUUUGAAUUUAUGAUAUUUACUACUUGCACAAAUGUAUUUUAUAUGCAUGUAUGUGUAGUGUAAUGAAUUAUAUUUCUUUCGAGUUGAUUUGUGUGGAGCUUUAUGAUGUUGGAAAUUUGUCUUGUUUGUGAUUAUAGAUGGCACUGUACUGGUACAUUUGAUGUACGCAAUAGAACUGGAGGUUGUUUUGGAACCAUGAGGUUCCAUGCUGAGCUGGCUCAUGGAGCCAACAAUGGCAUUGACAUUGCUUUUAGGUUCUUGUAGCCCAUCAGGGAGCAAUUCUCUGUCCUUUAUCUUACUGAUUUCUAUCAAGAAGUUUAUUGAUUCAGAAUGUUUAUAUUACGUAAUUUGUUUGGUUUGCUUUAUUAAAUAUAAAUUUUUUAGAGAAAUUGGAUUAUUUUCAUCCUCAUCUUGCACAUAGUUGGCUGCUGGUGUUGUUGAAGUUACUGGAGUACGUAAAAUUCCAAUCCAUCCAGGAAGGCUGGUUAGUAUUUUUUUUUUCCAACUCAACCGAUGCAUUUAACAAUUUUAUGUUUAUAAUCUGCAUGUACAAAUUGUGAUAUGCACAUUUUUUGAGUUAUUAUGUUGUCUAUUCAUUAUUAAGAAGCCAUGUUUUAGAAUGUGGUAUAGCUUAUGUGCUUGUAAAGAGUAAGACACAAUUUAUCCCUUCAUGAAUUUAAAUGUCUAUUCAUUUUUUGCAUUUGAACUUUGUCUUAAAUUUGUAGUGACAUACAACUUGUAAGAAUUGAACCUAGAUGUUUUAAAUCAUUAUUUAUAAUAUGAGAUAUUUGAUAUAUUUUUCCUCUAACUAAUAUUUUAUUACUUUUUAUAUGUUCGUCUUUGACUGAAGUUUUGGAGCUUGUCCUUUCAGGAAUCCUCAUUUAACCAAAUAACAAAUUGUGGUUGAGCUGAAAGUAUAUCUUGAAGUCAAGAAAGUUAUUUGAUUGUCCUGUGAAUUAGUAGUUAAUUCUUCAGUCUUUGGAUUUGAUUUUCUUCUUUUUAGGUUUGGUGAACUACACUAAGUAGUUCAAUCAUGAAAUUGUUAGCAUAUAUUUUAUUGGUAUUUGUUUUGGUUUUGGAGGUAACCAAGUUUCUAAAUAAUGCUUUG